rnacentral:rRNA from 1 species
GAUGAACGCUGGCGGCGUGCCUAAUACAUGCAAGUCGAGCGAACGGACGAGAAGCUUGCUUCUCUGAUGUUAGCGGCGGACGGGUGAGUAACACGUGGAUAACCUACCUAUAAGACUGGGAUAACUUCGGGAAACCGGAGCUAAUACCGGAUGAUAUUUUGAACCGCAUGGUUCAAAAGUGAAAGACGGUCUUGCUGUCACUUAUAGAUGGAUCCGCGCUGCAUUAGCUAGUUGGUAAGGUAACGGCUUACCAAGGCAACGAUGCAUAGCCGACCUGAGAGGGUGAUCGGCCACACUGGAACUGAGACACGGUCCAGACUCCUACGGGAGGCAGCAGUAGGGAAUCUUCCGCAAUGGGCGAAAGCCUGACGGAGCAACGCCGCGUGAGUGAUGAAGGUCCUCGGACCGUAAAACUCUGUUAUUAGGGAAGAACAUAUGUGUAAGUAACUGUGCACAUCUUGACGGUACCUAAUCAGAAAGCCACGGCUAACUACGUG